GAAGGGUUCCAAAGGAUUGCUACCCCUUAAACCCGAGACUUAAACCUCGGACCCAUCA
rnacentral:tRNA from 2 species